rnacentral:rRNA from 1 species
UACAGAGGGUGCAAGCGUUAAUCGGAAUUACUGGGCGUAAAGCGUGCGUAGACGGUAGCGUAAGUCGGGUGUGAAAGCCCCGGGCUCAACCUGGGAAUGGCAUUCGGGACUGCUCUGCUAGGGUGCGGAAGAGGGGAGCGGAAUUUCCGGUGUAGCGGUGAAAUGCGUAGAUAUCGGAAGGAACAUCAGUGGCGAAAGCGGCUUCCUGGACCAGCACCGACGUCAGGCACGAAAGCGUGGGGAGCAAACAGG